rnacentral:rRNA from 1 species
AUUGAACGCUGGCGGCAUGCUUUACACAUGCAAGUCGAACGGUAACAGGUCUUCGGAUGCUGACGAGUGGCGAACGGGUGAGCAAUACAUCGGAACGUGCCUAGUAGUGGGGGAUAACUACUCGAAAGAGUAGCUAAUACCGCAUGAGAUCUACGGAUGAAAGCAGGGGACCUUCGGGCCUUGUGCUACUAGAGCGGCUGAUGGCAGAUUAGGUAGUUGGUGGGGUAAAGGCUUACCAAGCCUGCGAUCUGUAGCUGGUCUGAGAGGACGACCAGCCACACUGGGGCUGAGACACGGCCCAGACUCCUACGGGAGGCAGCAGUGGGGAAUUUUGGACAAUUGGCUAAAGCCUGAUCCAGCAAUGCCACGUGCAGGAUGAAGGCCCUCGGGUUGUAAACUGCUUUUGUACGGAACGAAAAGCCUGGGGCUAAUAUCCCCGGGUCAUGACGGUACCGUAAGAAUAAGCACCGGCUAACUACGUGCCAGCCGCCGCGGUAA